CAACCGGCGGAGAUUGAAGAACAGCCUGAGUUCAUGGCAGAGCCAACAAGUUCGGUCAGCAGCUCGGAGCAGGACAGCAGCAGUCCCUCAACCCAUGUCAGUCCAGCACCCAGCCGUCGGACAUUGGAAGAGUCGUACAUUGAGGAACAAACAUCAUCCGACCCAGUUGAGGAACUUCAGGAAUGACCCAUGGCGAAGAGGAGGGGGCUUCAGGCAUGGCUGCCAUAAUAAGGCAUAAGUACUUCAUACACACUUGUUGAUGUUCACACAGGAAAAGUGUAUUGGGUAUAAAACUAAAAUGAAUUUCAUCUCAAUUCUACCUGUAGUCCUGGAGGAACGAAAGAGGCUCCUAUUGAGGACGACGGAUGACACAAAAAGAACCAUGGAAGAGCACAUGGGGCGAAUGACUAGGAGAUGGAGGCUAUGGAGAGGAGGAUGGAGGCUAUGGAAAGGAGGAUGGAGGGUAUGGAGAGGAAGUCAGAGACAUUGGAGGCUGCUGUGGUCUCGAACCCGCCUCAGCCUCCUCUGCAGGAAGAUGUGCUGUUGGGCCUAUGCAGCACAGUGGAGC